rnacentral:rRNA from 1 species
UACGGGAGGCAGCAGUGGGGAAUAUUGCACAAUGGGCGAAAGCCUGAUGCAGCUAUGCCGCGUGUAUGAAGAAGGCCUUAGGGUUGUAAAGUACUUUCAUCGGGGAGGAAAAAACAAAACUAAUAAUUUUAUUUCUUGACGUUACCCGAAAAAGAAGCACCGGCUAACUCCGUGCCAGCAGCCGCGGUAAUACGGAGGGUGCUAGCGUUAAUCAGAAUUACUGGGCGUAAAGAGCACGUAGGUGGUUUUUUUAAAGUCAGAUGUGAAAUCCCUGGGCUUAACCUAGGAACUGCAUUUUGAAACUGAAAUACUAGAGUAUCGUAGAGGGAGGUAGAAUUCUAGGUGUAGCGGUGAAAUGCGUAGAUAUCUGGAGGAAUACCUGUGGCGAAAGCGGCCUCCUAAACGAAUACUGACACUGAGGUGCGAAAGCGUGGGGAGCAAACAGGGAUUAAUACC